GAAGCUGGGCCAGUUGGAGUGAUUCUCGGGAACAUAAAAUGUUCCUGAGGAAGAUUAUUAAAAAUCAGAUCCUGAGUAGCAUCUGAAGUUUCUGCUUCUGCUUCUGACUCAGGUGAUGAUGGACCUCGAAAGUCUGACAUGCUGGCGUAGAAGAAAGAAGAGGAAAGCUUGUGUUUUGGACAAGGAGAAAGCACGCAGCCAGAAGGACUCUGGGUCUUUCUCUCACCUCGUCUGACAGUGUUACAUCCAAAGUAAAGCAGGCUGUACAGUGUCUUCAGGAAGAGAUGACCUAAGAAGGAAGCUUCUCUGUCACUCCUGGACUCUUUCUCCUCAGCACAAAAUUGUUCCAUUAGCUAAUAAAUGUUCCUACUGCCUCUGGCCCCAAACGUAGUUAACUGUGGCCCAGUUUCCCUGGGUGUUGGCUGAGUGCUUACCUGGGGCUGAGAGCCAAGCAACAAAUGACUGACA